rnacentral:misc_RNA from 1 species
AUGAAGAACGUAGCGAAAUGCGAUAAGUAAUGUGAAUUGCAGAAUUCAGUGAAUCAUCGAAUCUUUGAACGCACAUUGCGCCCCCUGGUAUUCCGGGGGGCAUGCCUGUCCGAGCGUCAUUACAACCCUCAAGCUCAGCUUGGUAUUGGGCCCCGCCGCUCCGGCGGGCCCUAAAGUCAGUGGCGGUGCCGUCCGGCUCCGAGCGUAGUAAUUCUUCUCGCUCUGGAGGUCCGGUCGUGUGCUCGCCAGCAACCCCCAAUUUUUUUCAGGUUGACCUCGGAUCAGGUAGGGAUACCCGCUGAACUUAAGCAUAUCAAUAAGCGGAGGA